rnacentral:rRNA from 1 species
GACGAACGCUGGCGGCGUGCUUAACACAUGCAAGUCGAACGGACUGCUUGGGGGCUUGCUCCUGGGUGGUGAGUGGCGAACGGGUGAGUAACACGUGAGUAACCUGCCCUCUUCUUUGGGAUAACGGCCGGAAACGGCUGCUAAUACCGGGUAUUCACUGGUCUCCGCAUGGGGGUUGGUGAAAAGGGGCCCUUUUUGGGUUUCUGGUGGGGGAUGGGCUCGCGGCUUAUCAGCUUGUUGGUGGGGUGAUGGCUCACCAAGGCUUUGACGGGUAGCCGGCCUGAGAGGGUGACCGGUCACAUUGGGACUGAGAUACGGCCCAGACUCCUACGGGAGGCAGCAGUGGGGAAUUUUGCACAAUGGGCGCAAGCCUGAUGCAGCGACGCCGCGUGAGGGAUGGAGGCCUUCGGGUUGUGAACCUCUUUCGCUCAUGGUCAAGCCGCGGAUGUGUCCG